UUCCAGCCAAUCAGCAGCAGACCCUCCCUCCCAGACCCUCCCACCUCCUGGACAGCAUCCAUUGUGAAGCUGCAUUCUUAGUGAGCUGUCCACGAGGUGGGAGGGUCUGGGAGGGAGGGUCUGCUGCUGUAACCAUUUG
rnacentral:miRNA from 1 species